GAGCGUGACAAGUACCCAGGGUGCUUGGCCUCCUUCCCAUUUAUCUCGAAACUUCUCUACUCUCUCUCACUCAACUCCAUCACUCUCUCUCACUGCACUGACCGGAUCAGAACUCCUGCGUCGCCCCCGCCCCCCACGCACCGUCGACGUCCACCACCACUGACACUCUGGCAACAAAGGCCGGACCACCGUCUACCUCACCUAGCUCUCGUGUCUCUCCCGUUUCAGCCUGACAUAGCAUGGUUGAAGGCACGGUGCGAUGGGCACCAAAUGACACGUACGAACAGGCGCUUGGCAAACCAGAGUACGCGGGAAGGGUUCGGUAAGUUGGGCUAAAUGUUUUGCCUAUGGGGGGGGAUGACGUAUUCAUACUACACCCCUUCACAAACCCCUUCACAGCCAUGAUCAUCUAGGCAAAGGUGGAGUUCCUCCUCACUGGACGAAAGGAUCGCAUCGAUGGAGUGUGAGUUAGAGACUGAGCGGUCAGCACGUCGGGCCUUGGAGUUGUGUUUUAACCAGAUUGAGUCACUGAAUGCCUCAGGACUAGUGCGUCCCAUGACCCCGGUCACUGAUUGCCUCAGGACUAGGAGCGGUUAUAUUCCCUGACCAAGUGGCCGGGUGUGCUAA